CCCUAAAUCCCUCCCGAUACUCCGGAUUCUACAGUAACCUAAACGUCAGCAGAAAGUUGUUGGGGUGGGUAGCCGGGUUUGGCGGAAAUCGCCACCAUCGGCCGCCGUAGCGAGGUCGCCAAGAGCCGGUUAUCCGAAAACUGCCGCAUCUUUCGAACUGUUUAGCUCUUCCUAGCAAUUUUAGAAAAUCCAAACUUUAGUAUAUAAGAUAGUAAUUGCAUAAAUUCGUUACAAGUAUGCAUAUAUACUGUGGCAAAAAAACCAACUGUAACACAAUAGACUAUUCUUGAAAUGAUGUCAUGCUAAUAUCAUACACCAGAUCGAAUCUGUACUAGAAUGUGCCCUUAAAGUUUUAUAAUAGCAUGUGUAUUGACGCAAGAUACCAAAAGCUAGUGUGAAACGAGCAAGAAACAAUUAGGGUAAAAUUGAAAUUAAACCAUUUUACGUGUGUGCAGAACACAAACAUGAUAUUGAGCUCUGAGCUGUGUACCAAGUCAUAUGAUAUUAAGGCUGUCUAUAGAUGCUUAAUUAUAUAUGAAAGAAACGUCAUGUGCAGUAUGUGUGUAACAAGUCAUUUAGAUAAAGGAAUAUUUUAAAAGGCAAAAUGAAUAUAAAUCUAGGAGAAGAAUAUCAUAUGUGUGAAGUUUGUAGAAAGUCAUUUAGACAAAAGUGUAGUUUAAAUGUGCAUAUGCGUAUUCACACAGAAGAGAAGCCUUAUGCAUGUGAGGUAUGUAAUAAGCAAUUUACACAAAAGGUUAAUUUGAAGAGGCAUAUGCUUACCCACACCGGAGAGAAAUCUAAUGUAUGUGGGGUAUGUAAUAAGGCAUUUUUACAAAAACAUCAUCUAAACGAACAUUUACGUAUUCACACAGGAGAAAAACCUUACAUGUGUGAGAUAUGUAACAAGUCAUUUACAAGAAUAGUUAGUUUAAAUAAUCAUAUGCUUAUUCAUACAGGAGAGAAACCUCAUGUAUGUGAGAUAUGUAAUACACCAUUUAGACUGAACAGUUCUUUAAAAAAACAUAUGCGCGUCCACACUGGAGAGAAACCUUAUAUAUGUGAAGUGUGUAAUAAGUCAUUUAAGGAAAAGAGUGAUUUAAAAAGGCAUAUGUGUGUUCACACAGGAGAAAAACAUCAUGUAUGCAAGGUAUGUAAAAGGUCAUUUAAUCAAAAAAUUAUGCUAAACAAUCACAUGCUCAUUCACACAGGAGAGAAACCGCAUGCGUGCAAAGUGUGUAAUAAAUCAUUUAGACAUAAGAACACAUUAAAUGGUCAUAUGGUUAUCCACACAGGAGAGAAAGCUCAUGUGUGUCUAGUAUGUAACAAAUUAUUUAGAGAAAAGGGACAUUUAAAUGAGCAUGUGCUUGUUCACUUACAAGAGAAACCUCAUGUGUGUGAGGUAUGCUACAAGUCAUUUAGACAAAAGAAUCAUUUAAAGUAUCAUCUCCUUAUUCAUAGUGGAGAGAAACCUUAUGUAUGUGAGAUAUGCAACAAAUCAUUUAGACAAAAGGGUACAUUAAACAGUCAUAUGUUUAUUCACACAGGAGGGAAACCUCUUGUGUGAUGUAUGUAGCAAGUCAUAUAGACAAAAAGCUUGAUUUAAACCAGCAUAUGCUUCUUCAUACAGGAGAGUAACCUCAUGGCAGCGUGAGGUAUGUAACAAGUCAUUUAGACCAAAAAAUUAUUUAAUGAAUCAGCCUUAUUCACAGUGGAGAGAAACCUUACUUAUGUGAGGUACGUAACAAGUCAUUUAGACAAAAGUGUUAUUCAAGUGUACAUAAGCUUAUUCACAUAAACAAAUAACCACAUACGUUUAAGGUAUCACCUUUAAACUAAAGUAUAAUUUUAAAAAAAGAAAAUGUGCUUAUCCAUAAAAGAAACAAAACUCAAUGACUUGUAUAUAUAAUAAUUCAUUUCGUGAGCAGAAGAAUUUAAAGAAAUGUAUGUUCAUCUACACAGAAAGGAAGUCUCAUUUCUUUUUACAAGAAGAAGUCUUGUGGAUGUGUAUUCCCUUAUGCAUAAGUAGCAGUUAACUGUGGAUGUCUGUAACUGCAUUCGAGAGAAACGUCAUGUAUGUGCUAUAUACAGUACAAAGUCCGAAAUCUGGACUCGUCAGGACUUCGGUGAUUCCAGAUUUGAGAUUUUUCCGGAUAAUAGAUCAUCAGUUAAAAUCUAAUAAGAUGGCAUGCAAAAAUUAUAAAAUUU
rnacentral:misc_RNA from 1 species